GCAGGCUUAACACAUGCAAGUCGAGCGCACUCUUCGGAGUGAGCGGCGGACGGGUUAGUAACGCGUAAGUAAUCUACCCUCGCAUCAGGGAUAACCCACCGAAAGGUGUGCUAAUACCGGAUACGUCUAUGUUAAUAUCUUUUUUAUAGAGAAAGGUGGCCUCUGAUUCAAGCUACUGUGCGGGGAGGAGCUUGCGUACCAUUAGCUAGUUGGUAGGGUAACGGCCUACCAAGGCGACGAUGGUUAGCGGGUCUGAGAGGAUGAUC
rnacentral:rRNA from 1 species